AUUGAACGCUGGCGGCAGGCCUAACACAUGCAAGUCGAGCGAGCGGCGGACGGGUGAGUAAUGUAUGGGGACUGCCCGAUAGAGGGGGAUAACUCCUGGAAAAGGUAGCUAAUACCGCAUACUAUCGGAUAACCCAUAUGGGAUUAUCUAGUAGGUGAGGUAAUGGCUCACCUAGACGACGAGCCCUAGCUGGUCUGGGAGGAUGAGCAGCGACACUGGGACUGAGACACGGCCCAGACUCCUACGGAGGCAGCAGUGGGGAAUAUUGCGCAAUGGGCGCAAGCCUGAUUGAGCCAUGCCGCGUGUAUGAAGAAGGCCCUAGGGUUGUAAAGUACUUUCAGUCGGGAGGCGUUACCGACAGAAGAAGCACCGGCUAACUCCGUGCCAGCAGCCGCGGUAAUAC
rnacentral:rRNA from 1 species